UACGAAGGGGGCUAGCGUUGCUCGGAAUCACUGGGCGUAAAGGGUGCGUAGGCGGGUCUUUAAGUCAGGGGUGAAAUCCUGGAGCUCAACUCCAGAACUGCCUUUGAUACUGAAGAUCUUGAGUUCGGGAGAGGUGAGUGGAACUGCGAGUGUAGAGGUGAAAUUCGUAGAUAUUCGCAAGAACACCAGUGGCGAAGGCGGCUCACUGGACCGGUAUUGACGCUGAGGCGCGAAAGCUAGGGUAGCAAACGGG
rnacentral:rRNA from 1 species